rnacentral:rRNA from 1 species
GAUGAACGCUGGCGGCGUGCCUAAUACAUGCAAGUCGAGCGAACGGACGAGAGGCUUGCUUCGCUGAUGUUAGCGGCGGACGGGUGAGUAACACGUGGAUAACCUCCCUAUAAGACUGGGAUAACUUCGGGAAACCGUAGCUAAUACGGGAGAAUAUUGUGAACCGCAUGGUUCAAAAGUGAAAGACGGUCUUGCUGUAACUUAUAGACGGAUCCGCGCUGCAUUAGCUAGUUGGUAAGGUAACGGCUUACGAAGGGAACGAUGCAUAGGCGACGUGAGCGAGGGAUCGGCCACCUUGGAACGUGGACACGGUCCUUGGUCCUAAGGGAGGCCCCAGUAGGCUAUCGGCCGCAAUGGGGGAAAGCCUGACGGAGCAACGCCACGUGAGUGAUGAAGGUCUUCGGUUCGUAAAACUCUGUUAUUAGUUAAGAACAUAUGUGUAAGUAACCGUGCACAUCGUGACGGUACCUAAUCAGAAAGCCACGGCUAACUACGUG